rnacentral:lncRNA from 1 species
GACGAGGGAGUGAGAUAAUUUGUGAAAAGCAGAGAGAUUCCUUUUUUAUAGAUUUAUGUUGCAGGCAAUAUUUCAACCUAAGAGCAUGGACACUUAUUUGCUACUUGGAUGCCCUUGAAAAAUUACUUCAUCUCCUGCAUUGUUUCCAUUGUUGUCAGAAGGACCGCAAUAACAGCACUGACCUCAAAAUUUAUUAUCAAAAUCAGUAAAGCUGUGCAUAUGAAGAAUGAAGAAUUGUGUCUAGCAUAAAGAAAGCACUCAGCAAACAUCUUCACAGUUGUUUUUUAUUUCAUAAUGCAUAAAGUUUCCCAUUACUCAGGAAAAGUAUGCCAGUCAGAAAUGGUAUCAACCUUGAUUUGGGUUUCAAUAUUUGUUGAUUGUAAAGUAAGCCUUUACAACUCUCUAGUUGUCUCUUAAUGGAUAUCAAGGUUGAAUCAGACUAUGUGUUUAGAGCCCCCCGUGGUGCCUUUUCUGUGUUAUUGAAACUGGAUUGCAGAGCACUCUCUCCAGUCUACCAUGGUAAGUCCACAAUUUCUAAAUGCAUUCUGAUUCUUGAGUGAAGCUUCUUUAAAACUCAAACAAGCUCAUGCUUGGCAAGAGGAGCAGAUAUGAGAGCAUCAUCGAACUGCACCUCCGAGACCCGAGCUGGAGAAGAAUUAAGUAAACAAUUCCUUUCACUCUCAUAAACAAACU